UCCGUAGGCGGUCGAGCAAGUCGGGUGUGAAAUCCCGCAGCCUAACUGCGGAGGGUCAUUCGAAACUGCUCGGCUCGAGGACUGGAGAGGAGACUGGAAUGGUCGGUGUAGCGGUGAAAUGCGUAGAGAUCGACCAGAACACCGGUGGCGAAGGCGGGUCUCUGGACAGUUCCUGACGCUGAGGGACGAAAGCUAGGGGAGCAAACG
rnacentral:rRNA from 1 species